ensembl:snoRNA small nucleolar RNA SNORD38
CUUCCAUGAAGAUAACUUUGUCCAGUUCUGCUAGUGAAUGUAAGUGGUGAUAAUGAAGACUCUGAGAAAG